rnacentral:rRNA from 1 species
UGGGGAAUAUUGCACAAUGGGGGAAACCCUGAUGCAGCGACGCCGCGUGAGCGAAGAAGGCUUUCGAGUCGUAAAGCUCUGUCCUAUGAGAAGAUAAUGACGGUAUCAUAGGAGGAAGCCCUGGCUAAAUACGUGCCAGCAGCCGCGGUAAUACGUAUGGGGCGAGCGUUGUCCGGAAUUAUUGGGCGUAAAGGGUACGUAGGUGGUUUUUUAAGUCAGGUGUCAAAGCGUGGAACUUAACUCCAUUAAGCACUUGAAACUGAAAGACUUGAGUGAAGGAGAGGAAAGUGGAAUUCCUAGUGUAGCGGUGAAAUGCGUAGAUAUUAGGAGGAAUACCGGUGGCGAAGGCGACUUUCUGGACUUUUACUGACGCUCAGGUACGAAAGCGUGGGGAGCAAACAGG